AAUCCGGGGUUCAAAGAAGCCGCUUGCCCUCCACGUUCCCUCUAUUCAAUCGCGCGCCCCUAUCUCAACGCCGUCGCUGAAAUAGAUCUAGGGCUCCUUCUCUUUGCCGAUCGGUUAACUGACUGGUUCCUGGGAGAUUAGGGGAUUGCUCACUCUGUUGUUCUUUAAUUUUCCCGGCAAGUACAAGGAUUAAUCUUCGAUUUUAUGUUUUUUGUUCGACCUAACAACUAUCAGGACAGUAUUGGCGAAACUUAGUCUUCUCUGUAAACGAGCGGGUUAUUUCUUGUUGUGAUUGGGUGUUUGGACGUCAAUACCCUGCCAUUGAGAUUUUAUAUACUUCUUGACCUGUUUGGGUUCAGUUGUUUUGUUGUAUUUGAGUGCCGUGGCGUAAAUUUUGAUGCUGUGGAAAAGUUGGUGGGUUGAUUUGAUUUAGGUUUUUUUUUUUUUGGAUUGGAGGUUUGAUAUUUGCAAACCUGAUAAUCGGGGAGAGUUCGGUUCGAUGGCUGAUCGUAACUUGGUGGUCGCAAAACCAAUCUGGAUGAAGCAGGCUGAAGAGGCGAAACUGAAGAGCGAGGCUGAAAAAGAUGCAGCGGCCAAAGCUGCUUUCGAAGCUACUUUUAAAGGCGUAGAUAAGAAUCCUGCAAGAGAAGCGGCAUCCUCAGAUAGUGAUUUUGAAGAUGCUGAGGACUUGGAACACAAACCCAUUGGGCCUGUAGACCCUGCUAGAUGCACAGCAGCUGGAGCAGGCAUAGCUGGGGGCACAGCAUGUGUGCCAGCUUCCUUUACUGUGGUAACUAAGGAUGUUGAUGGGAGGAAAGUUCCCCAUGGUGGUGCACAGAUUAAAGUAAAGGUGUUACCUGGGGUAGGUGUUGGUGGAACCGAGCAAGAUGGCAUUGUGAAGGAUAUGAAUGAUGGUACAUAUACGAUCACAUAUGUGGUGCCAAAAAGAGGAAAUUAUAUGGUUAAUAUUGAGUGUAACGGAAGAUCAAUCAUGGGUAGUCCAUUCCCAGUGUUCUUUAGUGCAGGGACAAGUGCUGGUGGGCUCCUGGGUUUAGCUCCUGCAUCGUCAUUUCCAAAUUUGGUUAAUCAAAAUAUGCCCAACAUGCCUAAUUACUCAGGGUCUGUUUCGGGGGCAUUUCCUGGGUUGAUGGGAAUGAUUCCAGGCAUUGUAGCUGGUGCUUCUGGUGGUGCUAUCUUGCCUGGAAUUGGAGCCUCUCUUGGCGAAGUAUGUCGAGAAUACCUUAAUGGUCAAUGUGCAAAAACAGAUUGUAAGUUAAAUCAUCCACCUCACAAUUUGCUCAUGACUGCAAUAGCUGCGACAACCAGCAUGGGAACUAUCAGUCAAGUGCCUAUGGCACCUUCUGCUGCUGCUAUGGCAGCUGCUCAGGCUAUUGUUGCUGCUCAAGCCCUUCAAGCCCAUGCUGCUCAAGUGCAAGCUCAACAAGCCCAGUCUGCAAAAGACUCUUCUGGUUCAUCCGACAAAUCUGGGAAGGCUGCUGAUGCUCUGAAGAGAACGCUUCAAGUUAGCAAUCUUAGCCCACUUCUCACCGUGGAACAGCUGAAGCAACUUUUUAGUUUUUGUGGAACUGUUGUUGAGUGUACCAUUACUGAUUCAAAACAUUUUGCUUACAUAGAAUACUCAAAGCCUGAAGAAGCCACUGCUGCUUUGGCAUUGAACAAUAUGGAUGUUGGAGGUCGGCCUUUAAAUGUAGAGAUGGCAAAGUCACUUCCACAGAAACCAGCUGCAGCGAACCCUUCACUUGCUUCUUCUUCUCUGCCGAUGAUGAUGCAGCAAGCUGUAGCCAUGCAACAAAUGCAAUUCCAGCAGGCUUUGUUGAUGCAGCAAACUAUGACAGCUCAGCAGGCUGCUAAUCGUGCAGCAACUAUGAAGUCCGCAACAGAGUUGGCAGCAGCUAGAGCCGCAGAAAUAAGCAAAAAACUUAAAGUUGAUGGAAUUGUGACUGAAGAAACUGAGACAAAAGAAAAAUCUAGGUCACCUUCCUUGUCCAGGGAGAGAUCAAAAUCCAAAUCCAAAUCACCUAUCAAGUACCGUAGCAGGCAGAGAUCUCCAACUUAUUCACCUCCUUAUCGUCACUCAAGAGAUCAUAGAUCUAGAUCACCUGUGAGAUCUCGUCAUUAUUCUAGGUAUGAAGAUCAUAGGAGGGCUUAUAGAGAAAUGAGAGAUGCUAGUGAAAGAUCUAGAAGGCGAGAUCUAGAUAGAUCAAGAAGUCGUCGUUCACCCGUCUCAAGGAAAAAUAGAAGUAGAAGCAUAAGUCCUCGCAGAAGAAAAUCAUAUAGAGAAGAUUCUGAUUCUCCCAAUCACCAGCGGGAACGUUCACCACAAAGAGGUAGGAAAUCAGAUCGUUCUGAUUUAAGAUCACCUAGUCGCCAUCAUGGGAAAAGCAGAUCAUCCCCAAGAAAGGAUGAUGGUGACACGCUAAAACAUAGAAGACGGUCAAGGUCUAAAUCUCUUGAGACUAAACAUCAUUAUGAUGAAAAAAUUAAUGAUACGCGACAUGGAAAAUCAAAAGCUCGGGAUAGAAGGCGGUCAAGAUCUGCUUCACUCGAAGACAAGCAUAGCAAAAGAAGAUCAUCACCUAGAAGCAUGGACAAGAACAUUUCUAAACAUAGAAGGCGGUCUAGAUCAAACUCUAGGGAGGAUGUAGAUGAUACUUCAUCAAAAUAUCAUGGUAGAAGGCGAUCUCGAUCAAGUUCUUCAGAAAGUAAACAUCUCCUUGAUAGUAAUAAGGUGGAUAGCACUAGAGAUGAAAAACUAAAACAUCGUAGCAGAAGGAGAUCCAGGUCAAAAUCUGUGGAUGGUAAGCACCACAGGAAGGAGAAAUCAGAUAGAAGCAGAGAUAAAAGGUUGAGGCAUCAUGAUAGAACGCCAUCUAGAUCUGUAUCUCCUGAGGCUAGGCAUCAAAGAGGGACCAGGCUGUCUCCUACCAGUUCUGAAGAAAAUAAAUCAAAACGUAGAAGGAGAUCACUCUCACCUGAAGAUAAGCCUCAUGUUCAUGUUACUGAUAUAGAUAAUGGAUGCAUAGCUGAACAUUCAAAGCAUCACGAAAGACAGCGGUCUAGGUCAAUGUCAGGAGAAAAUGGAGAAAGUAAUUUAUCUCCAAGUACAGAGGUAAAUGAAUUUAAACAUGGAGAGCAGUCAACAAUAGAACAUGUUGGAGGGCAUGAAGCUAGUCUCUCGAAGUAUAUAGACGAUAUGCCGGGAAAUGAUCAGGAUAGAAAGGAGUUAAAUUCCCAAUAUUCUAAUGUUGAGGAACGAAGCAAAAUGGAAACGAUUGACGAUGAGCAAAGUUGAUUUAGCUGGAAGUUAGAGUUUAAUGGAGGUUGUAAUAUUUCACGUUCUCCUUGGCUGAUGCUGACCGUAGAUGCUCGAUGUCACCUUUAUACAGUUGCAAUUUCUGGUGAAUGACGUUGAGGAGAUUAAGUUACAUUUAAAAUGUGAUAUGGAAAUGCUUUACUGUGACUCGUGAAUUACUAGAAUAGCUGACUAUUUCGGACUUGAGUACCUUGAUAACCAGGGUCAAAUUUCAUGCUCAGCAAUUUCAGCCUGGCUUGUUGACGUAUUCAAGGACAUCAUUGCUUCAUUUGAGGAAGAGGCUACAUGAUUGAAGAUUUGUUUCAAUUUCUUUGGGUUCUCAGAUUUUCAGUUUUCAUCCAUGUCUCUUGUCUUUGAUUAUCUUUUGCAGGUUAGCAGAGUCUCUUUCAGUUGAUGUUGGUAUUGCUGUCCUUUUGUCUACGAGACAAGACACCAAGUAUCUGUAGCCAGCUUCUUUUACUACUUGAUGUUAUUCGGUGUGAAUGUCAUUCGAAGUUUGUCGGGGUUGAUUUUCUCUUGUUUACACGAAGGCAAAGCUACUGUUAAAGGUCGGUUGAAACCAGAUGUUGCUGGGAUAAAUUGCAUCAAAAUUUCGUCCUUCUGGGCAUGAUCAGAAUUGGCUGACUCACUUGGAAGUGUUUUUAUUCGCGGUGAGUGCGAAUAUAUAUAUGGCAGGUAAUGUUGUCUGUAAUUGGUUGAAGAUAAUUAUAGGGAAAUCUAUAGGUUUGGAUUCUCUAAUAUAUAUAUAAGAAGCUAGAAAGUGCAUGUUGGACAAUGAGUCUAUGAUGAUGAUACUCGAUGCAUGUGCCUACAGGUUUUCUUUUCUUUGAAUGAUAAACUUACUUUUUGUAGCACCUAAUGUCUGAGUUCUUGUUUCCUAUAAGAAUCAUAGUAAUAAUGUCUUUGAGUUUGAAAAGGUACCAUCUCGAUUGAUGAAAUUGAGUGUGAAUUGUUUGUGGGGGUGACAGAUGUGAUACGUCAAGUAUGACCUGGAGAAAAACGUUCUUUGUUUGAGUUUGAAAUGGUAAUUUAUGUGAUUACUGGUUUGGUUGGGUCAAAACUUAAUUGUUUAGUCUUCUUCUCUGGUGUUUGCUCUCUUCUCCUCUUUCCUUUUCGAAUAAUUUCUUGGUAGGAUAGGCUGCCUUUGAUGUUGAACUCGGGUUCCGACUUGGAUGAGGUGGAUGACGAUGCCUUGCUUCGUGCUCGGUCUAUUGUUUCUGAAGGAACUGAGCACCGAGUUUAUAAUGUCGAACCUCACUGCUUGAAAUCCUCAUCAUGUUUAUGGUAUAAUCUGGUUAUAGGAUAUAGAUAAGCAUCUUUUGCAUCUACUUUGGCUUUGAUUAAAUUCCAAAACCUUGCUUUAAUUGUA